rnacentral:rRNA from 1 species
GACGAACGCUGGCGGCGUGCUUAACACAUGCAAGUCGAACGGAAAGGCCCUGCUUUUGUGGGGUGCUCGAGUGGCGAACGGGUGAGUAACACGUGAGUAACCUGCCCUUGACUUUGGGAUAACUUCAGGAAACUGGGACUAAUACCGGAUAGGAGCUCCUGCUGCAUGGUGGGGGUUGGAAAGUUUCGGCGGUUGGGGAUGGACUCGCGGCUUAUCAGCUUGUUGGUGGGGUAGUGGCUUACCAAGGCUUUGACGGGUAGCCGGCCUGAGAGGGUGACCGGCCACAUUGGGACUGAGAUACGGCCCAGACUCCUACGGGAGGCAGCAGUGGGGAAUAUUGCACAAUGGGCGGAAGCCUGAUGCAGCAACGCCGCGUGCGGGAUGACGGCCUUCGGGUUGUAAGCCGCUUUCGCCUGUGACGAAGCGUGAGUGACGGUAAUGGGUAAAGAAGCACCGGCUAACUACGUG